rnacentral:rRNA from 1 species
CCUACGGGGGGCAGCAGUGAGGAAUAUUGGUCAAUGGCCGGAAGGCUGAACCAGCCAGUCGCGUGAGGGAGGACGGCCCUACGGGUUGUAAACCUCUUUUGCCGGGGAGCAACGGGCGUCACGUGUGGCGCCACUGAGAGUACCCGGAGAAAAAGCAUCGGCUAACUCCGUGCCAGCAGCCGCGGUAAUACGGAGGAUGCGAGCGUUAUCCGGAUUUAUGGGGUUUAAAGGGUUCGUAGGCGGAUCGUUAAGUCAGUGGUCAAAUUGAGGGGCUCAACCCCUUCCCGCCAUUGAAGCUGGGGCUCUGGAGUGGAAGAGAAGUAUGCGGAAUGCGUGGUGUAGCGGUGAAAUGCAUAGAUAUCACGCAGAACCCCGAUUGCGAAGGCAGCAUGCCGGCUUCCGACUGACGCUGAAGCACGAAAGCGUGGGGAUCGAACAGGAUUAGAUACCCGGGUAGUC